rnacentral:rRNA from 1 species
UACGAAGGGGGCUAGCGUUGUUCGGAUUUACUGGGCGUAAAGCGCACGUAGGCGGAUACUUAAGUUAGGGGUGAAAUCCCGGGGCUCAACCCCGGAACUGCCUCUAAUACUGGGUAUCUCGAGUUCGAGAGAGGUGAGUGGAAUUCCGAGUGUAGAGGUGAAAUUCGUAGAUAUUCGGAGGAACACCAGUGGCGAAGGCGGCUCACUGGCUCGAUACUGACGCUGAGGUGCGAAAGCGUGGGGAGCAAACAGG